rnacentral:lncRNA from 1 species
GUCGUGUGCAACCUAACUGUUUCAUUGAGUUUCAACAUCUCGUGAUAGUUUCAACACUAUAAAGUGCUCUUAUAUUUAUUUUAAAUUUUAAUCAUUACUUUCAAUUUUUUCCUGUGCCUUAGCUUCAAAUAGGUUCUGAAUAAAGUUUAUUUAUUUUUUCAUUAAGAAAGUUUUUUUUUUCCCCCCAUUUUUUUAAAGCAAGAUAAUUCAUUCAUAGAAUCGAAGGCAUACCAAGAGAGACAUGGUACAGUGGCCUCAUUAAAACCUUCCUAGGACAACCUCAUGGGACAAACACUAUAGAAGGAAAGGGUAUCACACAUGUCAUGGACUAACAAAAGAGUCUGAUUCAGGUACAAUAAUGAACAAAUCAAAAACGAAAACAAACAGAAAGACCUCAUAUGAGAAUCGCAACAGUAGACCCACAUGAGAGGACCGCAGAACAUCCCAAUUGUCAAAAGAAGUCGUGCGCCCACACAAACUAUAAGGCAUACCAAUAGCAGAAGCCAGGAGAGAAUACAGAGGAGGAAUCACAGAAUAAUAGUGAAAAGGACCCCUGAGAAGCACCCCACUUCAACUCAUAACCUGUCGAAGAAAUCCUCCUAUGCCCAAACAUAGUUCUUCGGUGGGCAUAGAGUAAAGAAUAGUUGCAAGGAAUCAACAAAACAGGGAAAAACACAGCAAAACAUAAACUAAAAACCCGCAACCUAGACCCCAACAAGAUUGGCUUCAUAGCUUGAUGAACUUCUAACAGAAGAACAUCAUAAUGGGAACAUUUAUCGGAUGCCAAACCCACAAACGUUCCGGCUAACACAUCAGGGAGAAUUGGGAGACCCCUCAAGGUUGGCCUCUAUCAUCUUAGAGGCAAACUCGUCUAUGCAGAUAAAUUGCUCAACAACAGUGAAAUCUCAAUCAACACUCGGAUCCGAGAGCCCCAUCACGACAGAACCCGUCAAGAGAGGAACAUAAAGCGCAACCAAUAACCCUAGCCGCCUAAAAUCAUGCCCAACACUUAGGAUCCUAGAACGUACAAAGGCCAUACUGUCUAAGGGCACCACUACCUGAAUCAACUACGGAGGAAAUGAGAAUACCAGAACCAGAUCUGAACCAAAACCCUUGCGAUUGGCUUGUGCAGAGGGCGAUACCACUACACAUACCAGUAGCCAAAAGAAAAUGAGAACACCAACAGCUAACUCGGAGAAGGGACCAGACUCGCUCCGAUGUUAAGGCAUAAAGCCCAUAGCGUAAGCCUCAAGCGACGCCAACGAACCAGCCCCACAACAAGAACAAAGAGAGCAUGACGGCCGACUGGGAAGAAAACCAAUCUGGGAGUGAAAGACAGAUAUGAGUGAACCAACGUAGGCUGUGAAACAGCGACAAUAAACAACGCCAGCGACAGAGUAAAGACGAUGAGGGAUGACGACGGCUAGACAUGGAAGAAGAAAACCCUAAAGAGACGCAAGGCUCUCCUCGCUAGUGAGAGAGUGAGUAUAUAUAUGUAUAUAUUCAUGGAUUCAAAUAGGUAAAUUUCCUUUAAAUUCAUGGAUUUAAACUUCCUUGGCUUGUUUAACAAUUGAACACUAAAACAGCGUUUUUUGUCUAAAGCUUUGUGAAGGAUUGGGCCAUAAACAUGUACUGCUUCGGUACUAAUGGAGCAUAGGAUUUUGGCUUCUUUUUUCUUUUCUUUGUUCAAUUUGAUUUUUGAUUUUGGGGUGUUAAUGUUAUUAUUUAUAGUGGUACUUUUUUUUUUCUUCAUGAGAUUUUCCUUUAUUUGGGGGUUUCUUAAGGCAAAGUUUUAACGAGGUCACUACUCCUCCAUCCAAUUUAGCCCCACAUGUAUUGUUUUAGGCAAUUUUUUUUUUCUUUUUUAUUGUUUUCUGGUGAUUGUUUUAGGCCUUGAAUCUUUUAAAGUUUACGCUCUUGUUCCUAGCUUUCACGUUGGUUUUUCGGAUGUUGUCACCCUCUCCACUGUAUACUCUUAUGGUGUGUAAUACAGCAUCUUUAACAAACCAAAACAAACCCCAACAAAAAAAAAAAAAAAAAAAAAAAGGGUCAAAACAAAUUUCAUAAAAUUUCCACCCAAAAAAAUUUACAAAAUUAGUGAAACACCCGUUUCUAGACAUGAAACUAUAAAUAUA